UUGAUUGUGACGAAAUGGUUAACGUAUUAAGUUUAGGUCUUAAUUAAUUAUGAGUUCGAUUCUCAUCAAUCAUA
rfam:Sugiyamaella lignohabitans strain CBS 10342 mitochondrion genome.